rnacentral:RNase_P_RNA from 1 species
AAUGCAAGCCGUCUUAUCGUCCGCCAGCUGGUGGGAGGAAAGUCCGGGCAACAUUGAGCAUCGUACUUCCUAACAGGAAGGUCCGCCUGUGGGCGGAACAGAUAGUGCCACAGAAAACAAACUACUCCGUCUGAUGCGUCAGAUGGAGAAAAGGUGAAAAGGUGAGGUAAGAGCUCACCGCCCUGACGGUGACGUCAGGGGCAUGGCAAACCUUACGAGUUGAAAGGCCAAAUAGGCCCCGAACAUGAGUCGCUCUGCUCAUCCUUUAUGGAAGUCGGGGCGGGUAGGCUGAUUGAUCCCAAUGGCAACAUUGGGACUAGACAAAUGAUAAGAUCCGCCAGCUGGCGGAACAGAACCCGGCUUACAGGCUUGCAUUUUUU